rnacentral:piRNA from 1 species
UCUCAACAAGGGUAUGUCCAAAGUGUAGC